CUUAACACAUGCAAGUCGAACGGACUUAAGGGGCUUGCUUCUUAAGUUAGUGGCGCACGGGUGAGUAAUAUAUAGCUAACCUGCCCUUUAGUGGGGGACAACAGUUGGAAACGACUGCUAAUACCCUAUACUCCUUCUUACUAUAAGGUAAGUUGGGAAAGAUUUAUCGCUAAAGGAUGGGGCUUUAUUGUAUCAGCUAGUUGGUGGGGUAAUGGCCUACCAAGGCUAUGACGCAUACCUGGUCUGAGAGGAUGAUCAGGCACACUGGAACUGAGACACGGUCCAGACUCCUACGGGAGGCAGCAGUGGGGAAUAUUGCACAAUGGAGGAAACUCUGAUGCAGCAACGCCGCGUGGAGGAUGACGCAUUUCGGUGUGUAAACUCCUUUUAUAGGGGAAGAUAAUGACGGUACCCUAUGAAUAAGCACCGGCUAACUCCGUGCCAGCAGCCGCGGUAAUACGGAGGGUGCAAGCGUUACUCGGAAUCACUGGGCGUAAAGGAUGCGUAGGCUGGAAAUCAAGUCGAGAGUGAAAUCCAACGGCUCAACCGUUGAACUGCUCUCGAAACUGGUUACCUAGAAUAUGGGAGAGGUAGAUGGAAUUAGUGGUGUAGGGGUAAAAUCCGUAGAUAUCACUAGGAAUACCGAUUGCGAAGGCGAUCUACUGGAACAUUAUGACG
rnacentral:rRNA from 1 species